GCACUGCCUGAUUAGUGGCGAACGGGUGAGUAACACGUGAGUAACCUGCCCUUCACUUCGGGAUAACCUCGGGAAAUCGUGGCUAAUACCGGAUAUGAACUCCUGCCGCAUGGUGGGGGUUGGAAAGAUUUAUCGGUGAAGGAUGGACUCGCGGCCUAUCAGUUUGUUGGUGAGGUAAUGGCUCACCAAGACGAUGACGGGUAGCCGGCCUGAGAGGGCGACCGGCCACACUGGGACUGAGACACGGCCCAGACUCCUACGGGAGGCAGCAGUGGGGAAUAUUGCACAAUGGGCGAAAGCCUGAUGCAGCGACGCCGCGUGGGGGAUGACGGCCUUCGGGUUGUAAACCCCUUUCAGUAGGGAAGAAGCGAAAGUGACGGUACCUGCAGAAGAAGCGCCGGCUAACUACGUGCCAGCAGCCGCGGUAAUACGUAGGGCGCAAGCGUUGUCCGGAAUUAUUGGGCGUAAAGAGCUCGUAGGUGGCUUGUCGCGUCUGCCGUGAAAACCCGAGGCUCAACCUCGGGCGUGCGGUGGGUACGGGCAGGCUAGAG
rnacentral:rRNA from 1 species